GAUGAACGCUGGCGGCGUGCCUAAUACAUGCAAGUCGAGCGAACAGAUGAGGAGCUUGCUCCUCUGACGUUAGCGGCGGACGGGUGAGUAACACGUGGAUAACCUACCUAUAAGACUGGGAUAACUUCGGGAAACCGGAGCUAAUACCGGAUAAUAUAUUGAACCGCAUGGUUCAAUAGUGAAAGACGGUUUUGCUGUCACUUAUAGAUGGAUCCGCGCCGCAUUAGCUAGUUGGUAAGGUAACGGCUUACCAAGGCAACGAUGCGUAGCCGACCUGAGAGGGUGAUCGGCAACAAUGGAACUGAGACACGGUCAAGACUCCGACGGGAGGAAGAAGGAGGGAAUAUUGGGCAAUGGGAGAAAGCCUGAAGGAGAAAGGCCGCGGGAGUGAAGAAGGUCUUCGGAUUGAAAAACUCUUUUAUGGGGAAAGAAAAAUAGAGGAAUAAAAAAGGGAGGUUGUGAAGGUACAAAAAAAAAAAGCAACGGCUAAAUUAGUG
rnacentral:rRNA from 1 species